rnacentral:lncRNA from 1 species
GGGCAAAGAACUUUCCAGGCAUAUAAACUAACGGGAGCAGAGCCAGAGGGAAGUGCAGUGCAGAUCUAUGUGGAGAGCAGCCAAUGUCCAGUGCCACUGGAGCCAUGCUUGCACAGGGGAGUUGAGUGGAACAAGGUUGGGGCCAGAUGGCUAAGAACUUUUGUAUUCAUGCAAUAAAGAGGUCAGGCUUUACUCUGUAAGCAUGAAGGAACACAUUGAAAAUUCUCAAGCGGAAUUCAGAAAUCUGGAUCCCACCAAGAAUGAGAAAGUAUCUGGAUACCUGGGCCAUGCCCUGGACUGUCCGAACCAUGAUGACCAAAAUCACUCCGAAGUCAGCAGCCAGUGGUGUAAAGAGG